CGCAAAGAACUGAAAACUCCAAAAGGAAAUUGACCGGGGGGCCCCGCAACAAGCCGGUGGGAGCAUGUUGGUUUUAUUUCGAAGCCAACGCGAAGAACCUUUCCAGGUUUUGACAUCCUCUGAACAAUCCUAGAGAUAGGACGUCCCCUUCGGGGGUAGAGUGCCAGGUGGUGCAUGGUUGUCGUCAGUUCGUGUCGUGAAAUGUUGGGUUAAGUCCCGCAACGAGCGCAACCCUUGAUCUUAGUUGCCACCCUUCAGUUGGGCCCUCUAAGGGGACUGCCGGUGACAAACCGGAGGAAGGUGGGGAAGACGUCAAAUUAUCAUGCCCCUUAUGGCCUGGGGUACACACGUGCUACAAUGGACAGAACAAAGGGCAGCGAAACCGCGAGGUUAAGCCAAUUCCACAAAUCUGUUUUCAGUUCGGAUUGCCGUUUGCAACUUGGCUGCGUGAAGCUGGAAUCGCUUGUAAUCGCGGAUCAGCAUGCCGCGGUGAAUACGUUUCCGGGCCUUGUACACCCCG
rnacentral:rRNA from 1 species